CUGUCCUCCUCUUAAAAACGACCACAUAGGUCGUUUGUGCAAGCAGCAUAUUACGACCUAUUAUUACGUUUUAAAAUCAAGCGCCCUCUAGCGGCCGUAUUACGACAGUCUCGUUUGUCGGGUGUGUCGUCAUCAAAUGACCUUUGACUGUCGUUACCAUCGUUACCACCCAAAAAAAGGAGGCGUGACCCAACAUCUUACCAUGCGUUGUUGUCCAGUUUUGCAGUUUCUUCAUAUCACAUACAUCUCCAGCUCCUACAACAACAUUCAGUGUCCAGCAGCUCUUUAUGAUGCUCUCUCUCUCUCUCUCUCUUUCUCACUCUCUCUCUCUCUCUCUCUCUCUCUCAUUUUCCUUUCCUAUUUUUCUGAACUGUAAUUCAUAAAUAAGUCACACAUAUUUUUCUUUCUUUCUCUUGUUCAUCAUGGCAUAUUUUCACAGCUCAGAAUCAGAUUUUGAUCAGUUCUUGUAUUAACAGGGAACUUGUACUCGAAGCUCAACUUGAAGAAGUUUCCAGUGAAGAUGAAGUCCUUCAAAGGUUCGACACAGCUGAAAAGGAAGACCAUGGGCCUGUCAAACCUUGUUUGUGGAGAGGGAUGAAUUUGACCAUCUUGUGUGUUUACGGAGAAGACCAAAAGCUGCUAAGGCAGAUAUUUCCAGAGGAUUUCUGACAGAUUACUGAGUCCUUCUCCAUCAGCUCUCCACAAUAGCAGCCCUUCCAAAAGCAUCCACAUCACUCUCUCUUGUGUGGCACAUCUGCUCUCAGUCGUUAGCAUGUCUACUUGUAUUAUUUCUCCUCUAGUCAACACUCCCAUCUCUACUGUGAACACUCCAUUUGGCAUUUUAUAAACUUCUCUGCAAACAAAUUGACAAUUUUUAUUUAUUUAUUCAUUUUUUUUAUUUUAUAUAUAUAUUUUUAUAUUAGCCAAUUUAGUUUUAAAGGGAUUUUCUAUUACAUAAUUCUGUCUGUACCUAUUAGUUACUUUAUCAAUCAGUAAUUUUUAAAAGUUGUUAUAUUUCACAAUAAUAUAUUAUUUUUUUGUUUUUAUUUCUUCAUAGUGACAAACUAGAGAGAAAGAAUGGUGUUAUUUGCAUUGUUUGUCUGAAAAGUUUGACAUAUCAAUAAACACUGAUAUGGAAAUUACUAAAAAAAAA